rnacentral:rRNA from 1 species
AUUGAACGCUGGCGGCAUGCUUUACACAUGCCAGUCGAACGGUAACAGGCCGCAAGGUGCUGACGAGUGGCGAACGGGUGAGUAAUGCAUCGGAACGUGCCCAGUCGUGGGGGAUAACUACUCGAAAGAGUAGCUAAUACCGCAUACGAUCUAUGGAUGAAAGCGGGGGACCGUAAGGCCUCGCGCGAUUGGAGCGGCCGAUGUCAGAUUAGGUAGUUGGUGGGGUAAAGGCUCACCAAGCCAACGAUCUGUAGCUGGUCUGAGAGGACGACCAGCCACACUGGGACUGAGACACGGCCCAGACUCCUACGGGAGGCAGCAGUGGGGAAUUUUGGACAAUGGGCGCAAGCCUGAUCCAGCAAUGCCGCGUGCAGGAAGAAGGCCUUCGGGUUGUAAACUGCUUUUGUACGGAACGAAACGGCUCUGGUUAAUACCCGGGGCUAAUGACGGCACCGUAAGAAUAAGCACCGGCUAACUACGUG